UUUGGAUUAUUAUGGUUAUUUAUUUUUUUUUAGAUUGGUACACUUGACUGUCAAAAAUGUGGAUGGAUCGAUUUAGGAAUGGCGGUUUGUGUACGGAAGAUCACUGAGAUGCUAAAAAUGUGAUGUAAGCAAAUUUCAAGUUGUGUCGGUUGUUGGUUGUGCGUCCCGUGGAUCAAAAAUAUAAAAUCAUUAACGAAAAAAAAGUAUCAAUAUAAAAUAGUGCGUAUCGAAAGAAAUAAAUCGCGCGCCGUGCAAAUGUUGAAGCAACUGCAGAUCGGCUUACGAGGCUUCUUACUGCUCGCUUCCAAGGUUUGGAGUUGUUUAUGUUAUGUGAUAAAGAAGCAGGGAAGAGCUAUUAUCCAACAUCAAUCUGUAAAAUAUGAUAUAUUUCCAUUAUCACCUUUAUCAAAACACAGACUUAGUAUAGUAAAACGAAAAGUUCUAGUAUUGGAUCUAGACGAAACGUUAAUACACUCGUUCCAUGACGGUGUGGUCCGACAGACUGUAAGGCCGGGAACACCGGCGGAUUUUGUGCUGCGAGUGGUAAUCGAUCGGCAUCCAGUGCGUUUUUUCGUUCACAAAAGGCCGCACGUCGAUUUCUUUCUUGAUAUCGUCUCGCAGUGGUACGAAUUGGUCGUUUUCACUGCGAGUAUGGAGAUUUAUGGUGCAGCCGUUGCGGAUCGAUUGGAUGCCGGACGUGGUAUAUUACUACGAAGGUUUUAUCGGCAACAUUGUACUCCUGAUCUAGGAUCUUAUACCAAGGACCUAAGCGCUAUCUGCAACGAUCUCUCCAGUGUAUUCAUAUUGGAUAAUAGUCCUGGAGCCUAUAGAGCGUAUCCAGAUAAUGCAAUACCAAUAAAAUCAUGGUUUUCGGAUCCAUCGGACGUGGCGUUAUUAAAUCUGUUGCCGGUGUUAGACGCCUUACGUUUUACAGCGGAUGUGCGGUCCGUGCUGUCGCGGAAUCUUCACCUGCACAGACUCUGGUAGUAGAGACAGCGUUGAUUGUAAUACGACGACAGUAAAUAAAACUGUGUGAAGCAGUACUACUGUCUUCGGAAUAAGCGAUCAAAAGAAAAAAAUUGGAACAUGACGAGGAUGAAGAAGAGACCUGUUUUUUUUGCCUCGGCAAAACCAUUUUUUAAGAACACUUUUUAUUACGUACCUGUGUGAAAGAAGCAAUCGAACGAACGUUAAUGAUGGUGAUGAAGAAAAUGUUAUAAAGUUCUUGUUGUUUGUUGUUUGCGGAACAUGAUAAUACGAAAAGUGUGUUUAGAAUGAACACUUUUUCUUUUUUGUUUUAUUUUUUUUUUUUUUUUACUGUUAAACGCGACACGAACGAACGACCGACUCGAAACGUAAAAAAAACGGAACCCAACGUCGAUUGUGAUCUCUUGUUGCUUGUAAAUAAUUACAAUAUACAGAAAUAAUAAAGAAAAACUGUACAAUAAGA
rnacentral:misc_RNA from 1 species